UACGUAGGGGGCGAGCGUUGUCCGGAUUUACUGGGCGUAAAGGGCGCGUAGGUGGUUGAGUAGGUUGGUGGUGAAAGGUUGGGGCUUAACCCCAACAGGUCCACCAAGACCGCUCGACUGCGAGGGCAGUAGAGGACGGUAGAAUUCCGGGUGUAGUGGUGAAAUGCGUAGAGAUCCGGAGGAAUACCGGUGGCGAAGGCGGCCGUCUGGGCUGUCCCUGACACUGAGGCGCGAAAGCGUGGGGAGCGAACUGA
rnacentral:rRNA from 1 species